AUGAACGCUGGCGGCGUGCCUAAUCCAUGCAAGUCGAGCGAACAGACGAGGAGCUUGCUCCUCUGACGUUAGCGGCGGACGGGUGAGUAACACGUGGAUAACCUACCUAUAAGACUGGGAUAACUUCGGGAAACCGGAGCUAAUACCGGAUAAUAUAUUGAACCGCAUGGUUCAAUAGUGAAAGACGGUUUUGCUGUCACUUAUAGAUGGAUCCGCGCCGCAUUAGCUAGUUGGUAAGGUAACGGCUUACCAAGGCAACGAUGCGUAGCCGACCUGAGAGGCGGACGGGCGACACUGGAACUGAGACAAGGGCAAGACUCCUACGGGAGGCAGCAGUGGGGAAUGUUGGAAAAUGGGCGAAAGCCUGAUCCAGCAAUGGCGAGUGGGUGAAGAAGGUUUUCGGGUUGUAAAGCACUGUUGUCAGGAAAGAAAUGGCUCGGGUUAAUACCUGGGGUGGAUGACGGUACCGGAAGAAUAAGAACCGGCUAACUACGUG
rnacentral:rRNA from 1 species